rfam:Felis catus isolate Cinnamon breed Abyssinian chromosome C1, whole genome shotgun sequence.
UUUUUAGUGUAAGUAUGUUCCAUGAAAUAUUUGGGAUAUACUUACACUCAAA